GGUCAAGUAGCUCAGUUGGUUAGAGCACUGUCCCCGGAAAGUGACAGGGACCUGGGUUCAAUUCCCACUCUUUAUUG